CCUGGCUCAGGAUGAACGCUAGCUACAGGCUUAACACAUGCAAGUCGAGGGGCAGCAUGGUCUUAGCUUGCUAAGGCCGAUGGCGACCGGCGCACGGGUGAGUAACACGUAUCCAACCUGCCGUCUACUCUUGGACAGCCUUCUGAAAGGAAGAUUAAUACAAGAUGGCAUCAUGAGUCCGCAUGUUCACAUGAUUAAAGGUAUUCCGGUAGACGAUGGGGAUGCGUUCCAUUAGAUAGUAGGCGGGGUAACGGCCCACCUAGUCUUCGAUGGAUAGGGGUUCUGAGAGGAAGGUCCCCCACAUUGGAACUGAGACACGGUCCAAACUCCUACGGGAGGCAGCAGUGAGGAAUAUUGGUCAAUGGGCGAGAGCCUGAACCAGCCAAGUAGCGUGAAGGAUGACUGCCCUAUGGGUUGUAAACUUCUUUUAUAAAGGAAUAAAGUCGGGUAUGGAUACCCGUUUGCAUGUACUUUAUGAAUAAGGAUCGGCUAACUCCGUGCCAGCAGCCGCGGUAAUACGGAGGAUCCGAGCGUUAUCCGGAUUUAUUGGGUUUAAAGGGAGCGUAGAUGGAUGUUUAAGUCAGUUGUGAAAGUUUGCGGCUCAACCGUAAAAUUGCAGUUGAUACUGGAUAUCUUGAGUGCAGUUGAGGCAGGCGGAAUUCGUGGUGUAGCGGUGAAAUGCUUAGAUAUCACGAAGAACUCCGAUUGCGAAGGCAGCCUGCUAAGCUGCAACUGACAUUGAGGCUCGAAAGUGUGGGUAUCAAACAGGAUUAGAUACCCUGGUAGUCCACACGGUAAACGAUGAAUACUCGCUGUUUGCGAUAUACGGCAAGCGGCCAAGCGAAAGCGUUAAGUAUUCCACCUGGGGAGUACGCCGGCAACGGUGAAACUCAAAGGAAUUGACGGGGGCCCGCACAAGCGGAGGAACAUGUGGUUUAAUUCGAUGAUACGCGAGGAACCUUACCCGGGCUUAAAUUGCAGAUGAAUUACGGUGAAAGCCGUAAGCCGCAAGGCAUCUGUGAAGGUGCUGCAUGGUUGUCGUCAGCUCGUGCCGUGAGGUGUCGGCUUAAGUGCCAUAACGAGCGCAACCCUUGUUGUCAGUUACUAACAGGUUCCGCUGAGGACUCUGACAAGACUGCCAUCGUAAGAUGUGAGGAAGGUGGGGAUGACGUCAAAUCAGCACGGCCCUUACGUCCGGGGCUACACACGUGUUACAAUGGGGGGUACAGAGGGCCGCUACCACGCGAGUGGAUGCCAAUCCCCAAAACCUCUCUCAGUUCGGACUGGAGUCUGCAACCCGACUCCACGAAGCUGGAUUCGCUAGUAAUCGCGCAUCAGCCACGGCGCGGUGAAUACGUUCCCGGGCCUUGUACACACAGCCCG
rnacentral:rRNA from 1 species